AGAACGAACGCUGGCGGCAUGCCUAAUACAUGCAAGUCGAACGAACACUUCGGUGUUAGUGGCGCACGGGUGCGUAACGCGUGGGAAUCUGCCCCUGGGUUCGGAAUAACAGUUGGAAACGACUGCUAAUACCGGAUGAUAUCGAAAGAUCAAAGAUUUAUCGCCCAGGGAUGAGCCCGCGUAGGAUUAGCUAGUUGGUGAGGUAAGCUCACCAAGGCGACGAUCCUUAGCUGGUCUAGAGAGGAUGAUCACGACCACACUGGGACUAGGACGACCGACCGGCCCAGACCUCCGUACGGGAGCAGCGAGUAGGAAUAGUGACAAGUCGGACG
rnacentral:rRNA from 1 species